rnacentral:rRNA from 1 species
CAACCGCCCGUCACACCCAUGGAAGUCUGCUGCACCAGAAGUAGGUAGUCUAACCGCAAGGGGGCGCCUACCACGAUGUGGCCGAGUGACGUGGGGUG